AUGACUUUGAAGAACACGCUGGAGCUCGUGUGGCUGGGGCUUCUCCUUGGCUGUCUCUGUAAGGUUGCAGAGAGCAAGGACCAAGUUUCUCAGCCUUCCACUGUGGUAUCUUCCGAGGGAGCUGUGGUGGAAAUCUCCUGCAACCACUCGAUAUCCAAUGCUUACAACUUCUUCUGGUACCAUUAUUUCCCAGGACAAGCACUAAAACUCCUUAUUAAGGGCACAAAAGCUUCUCAGCAGGGACGCUACAACAUGACCUAUGAACGAUUUUCUUCAUCUUUGCUCAUCCCUCAUGUGCAGGUGGCAGAUGCUGCCUUUUACUACUGUGCUGUGGAGGACACAGAGGUGGGAGACUUGUGUAGAGUCAAACAGAAACAAGUUCACAGUCUUCCAUGGAGUCAGAAAGAGAUGAGCACCUACUACUUUCUCCCCUAA